GGCGGUGCGAUGGCGGCUGCGGCGGAGCGCACUGACGAGCUGGUGCGGGAGUACCUGCUGUUUCGCGGCUUCACCGGUACUCUGAAGCAGCUAGACGCGGACAUCAAGGCGGACAAGGAGAAGGGCUUCCGGGUAGAUAAGAUAGUGGACCAGCUUCUGCAGUUUAUUCAGAGCUAUGAUCUGGCUGCCCUUCGGGAUUACUGGAGUUACCUUGACAGGCGCCUUUUCAGUCGAUUAGAAGAUGUGUACCGGCCUACGGUGAACAAGCUGAAAAUCAGUUUAUACCGCUACUACCUCGUUCAUGCUGUGCAGACAAGCAGGAAUGAUAAGACACAGGAAUUCUUUCUCAGGCAUGCCUCUGAACUUCAGAACCAGGUUGAGUGGAAGGACUGGUUUGUUCUGCCCUUCAUCCCAAACCCAGAAGCAAACCCAGCCUUUGCCACAUAUUUUUCCCGCCAGUGGGCAGACACUUUCAUCGUUUCUCUGCACAACUUCCUCAGUGUCUUAUUUCAGUGCAUGCCUGUACCAGUCAUCUUGAACUUUGAGGCCGAAUGUCAAAGGAGUAAUCUUCUGCAAGAAGAAAAUGAAAUUCUGCGUCAAAAGCUGUUUGCCUUGCAGGCAGAGCAAUUCCGAAUGAAGAAAGAGGAACAGCAACAGGAGGAAGAGGAGCAGCUGAUACUUCAUCACAAGCUUCCUUCCUAUGUGGCUAACAUGGACCAUCUGGGGGACUCAGAGCUUGACAUGACAUGCAGCCAAAGAAGCGCUGCUCACUUUCUCCAGGCCCGAGGAGGGUUCCUGUCAUCUCUCCUGUCUCAAGGUAAAAAGGGCCCCUCUAGAGUGACACAGGCACCAGGAACCAUGUCGGGGCAGACGGGUAUGGCAUCUCUGGGCAGGAAAGAGCAGUCAACCCACCAGACCACCAAAGGAAAGGAAGUGGCAUCUGGCUGCAAGGAACCAAAAAGUCACUUCAGUGGCCUGGUAGCAACAGAGACCAGUUCAGUCCAGCAGCGUCAGCGGCGCCUGCAGGAACACGGAAAGGAACGGAAAGAGCUUUUGUCUAAAACAGUUUCCCAGGCACAGACUGUUGAGCGGAAGCUGGAGACGGGUAGCACUGAAACAGACCCACCUCCUGAACUGCAUGCAGAGCAAGCAGAAACCUUAACCAAAGCUUUUGGGUCUAGCACAGAGCCUGGAGGCAUCAGGCAGGAGCAGCCGUUCAUUGUCUUGAGCCAGGAAGAAUAUGGAGAACACCACUCCUCCAUCAUGCAUUGUCGGGUCGACUGCUCUGGUCGCAGAGUGGCUAGUUUGGAUGUGGAUGGAGUCAUCAAAGUCUGGUCGUUCAAUUCCAUCAUGCAGACAAAAGCUUCUUCCAUUUCCAAGUCUCCCCUGCUCUCCCUAGAAUGGGCAACCAAGAGGGACAGACUGUUGUUGCUAGGAAGCGGAGUUGGGACUGUUCGUCUCUAUGAUACUGAAGCCAAGAAGAAUCUCUGUGAAAUCAGCAUCGAUGAAGACAUGCCCAGGAUCCUCUCUCUUGCGUGCAGUCCAAGUGGUGCUUCUUUCGUCUGUUCUGCUGCAGCAUCUAGUCUUGUAAACCAGCUAGAUUGCACAGCUCUGGAUUCUGGAGGGAAAAGCAUCAAUCAAGUUCCUGGCAAGCUUCUUUUAUGGGACACAAAAAACAUGAAGCAGCAGCUCCAGUUUUCUCUUGAACCUGAACCCAUUGCUAUAAACUGCACAGCAUUUAACCACAAUGGAAAUCUACUGGUUACAGGAGCAGCAGAUGGCAUAAUCCGCCUCUUUGAUAUGCAGCAGCAUGAAUGUGCCAUGAGCUGGAAGGCUCAUGAUGGGGAGGUAUAUUCUGUUGAAUUCAGCUAUGAUGAGAAUGCCGUUUACAGUAUUGGAGAAGAUGAGAAGUUUAUUCAGUGGAAUAUUCAUAAAAGUGGCUCGAAAGUAUCUGAAUACGCUCUGCCCAGAGAUGCCACAGGCCCCUUUGUGCUGUCUGGCUACAGUGGAUAUAAGCAAGUCCAGUUCCCACGUGGAAGGCUUUUUGCGUUUGACUCAGAGGGAAACUACAUGCUGACCUGUUCUUCCACUGGGGGUGUCAUUUACAAGCUGAGCAGCCAUGACAAAAUACUGGAAAGCUGCCUGUCCCUGGGAGGGCACAGGGCCCCUGUCGUCACUGUGGACUGGUGUACAGCUAUGGACUGUGGAACCUGCCUCACAGCCUCCAUGGACGGGAAGAUCAAACUAACUACUUUACUUGCACAUAAGUCUUAAAUGGAGCUCUGCUGUUCAGGAAGCACAAGAAGUGAACUAUUUUUUUCAAGGACAUCUGAAGACUUGUGGCAACUUGGACUUGGGAGGUGCUAUCUUUUUGGAUUCCUGAUAUGAGCAUCCCCUGCAAGUGGCAGUGAAAAUGCUGCAUUACCAAGUAGUCCUGCAAGAGGCAGGUGGAAGAGCUGUUGAAAGGAUGAAAAGGAGAAGCAACUACAGAAAAUCUGUUAAGAAAAGAUUUAAUAGCUGCACAAUACUUCCUGAGUGGCAACACCAAGAGCAUUUUGUCUGGAAGCAUCCCUAUUCUAGAAUGCUGAGCUAACACUGCUUCUGGCUGGCUUUAGCAAGCCUCUAUAGCUGGACAAUGCAUUUCCACAAAUAUUCUUAAGCAGAAUCCUUCUGCUCCUUUUUUGCCCGUCCCCCACAAAAAAACCCAAUGCUACCCCACUAAAGUGGACUCUCUCAGUGACUCUCACCUCAACCUUUAUCAUCAUGAGCUUGUGAAGUGGUGGGGUGAGGGGCCAAGUAUCCUUCCUUAAGCAUCUUAGAAGAAAAGCAGGGGCACACAAUAAAUGAUUAAGCAUUUUGUGCUGGGGAAGCUGUCUUUCACUUUUCCACCUAGUUUCUCAAAUAGCAGUAUUUACCCCAAAUUAUUUCUACAUGGUCAGAACAAGUGCACUGAAAUGAACCAGAUCCAUGGUGUGUCAGGAUAGGUCCAUAGAAUGGUGGCCAAAGUGCUGGGCUGAGGACCUGGGAGACUGGGUUCUGGUCCUCACUUCGCCAUGAAGCUCACUGGAGGAUUUUGGAGCAAUCACAGGCUCUCCUCCCAACCAACCUCACAGGCGUGCUGUUGUGAGGAUAAAAUGGAGCUAUGUAAGCCACCUUGGGUUCCUCACCAGAGAAGAAAAGGCGGGUUAUAAACGAAAUGCAAUAGCAGCAACAAGAAGUAAGGGGAGACGUGAUAGUGUUUCUAAUAAGAAUGGAAUGGAGAAAAUAGGGAGACCCUUUUCUCCCUGUCUCAAAGCAGACCCAGACCUAGGGUUAUCCUAUGAAGCUGAUGAGCGACAGACAAGAGAAAGCACUUCUUCAACAACGUAUAAUUAAAUUAUGGAAUUCACAGCCAGAAGUGGCGAUGGCAACAAAUCUAAAUGGCUUUCAGAAGGGAUGGGACCCAGGCACGAAGCGCAUCUCGACCCGCCCUCUCUUUCUGCCCUCCCGUUCGCCCCG